UGGUGGAGUGAUUUGUCUGGUUAAUUCCGAUAACGAACGAGACUCUGUCCUGCUAACUAGUGUCUGCUUCUUUUUGAGCAGAUUAUUCUUCUUAGAGGGACUGGUAGCUCUUAGCUACACGAGAUUGAGCAAUAACA
rnacentral:rRNA from 1 species